AUGCAAUGUGAAAUUGCUGCAAGAACACAUCCUAACAAAACAGGGACAUGGGCUGCCUCCAAGAACCACUGGUUUAACAAGAGAGGCAAAAGACCAGAGGCAGCUCUCUGGAACAGAUUACGACCACACAGGGGAAAGCGUAGAGCCAAGAAACCCUGCUACUUCUCUCCCUGAGCCUAAUUUUAGCAGUGCUUUAUUUAUCUGUAAUAAAAUACAAUUUCAGGAACAAGCUUCUUUGGAAUGAAACAGAGAAAUUAAGAAUUAGGAAUCAAACAUCAAGAAAUUUUUUGACUGAAAGAAGGAGGGGCUGACAAAACCCUGUGAAACUCUUACUGUUUCCACAAGAACAGGAAGGGAGUAAGGCUACAAGGCAAGAUAAAGAGCUAGAGUGCACAAACAGGAUGCAAGGGCAAAGGCACAACAGGAUAUGGGGAUUCUCUGGGCCCCUGAGCCAGAAAAAAUGGUAUCAAAGCCCAGAAGAUGGCCAAAGGACUAAAAAGGAGCAUGUGCAAGAAGACAAGUCGAAAAGUUCAGCUGAGGGGAAGAUUGCUUACUUCAGCCUCAAAGACCCCCAGACAACCCCAGGAUGACCAACAAAGAGCAGUGCACAGUGGCAAAGAGGUUCCUCUCCACGAUCCCUAUGUAGUCCUUCACUUCUGGCACUGUGGAGCUCCUAAUGGCAGAGGCUUGGUCGAAGACAAUUUUCUGGCGGUCUGCAACCACCUGUGCAAAGGCAGAGCGGGAGCCAUCCUCGAUGGGCCACAGGUACACGGCGUAGGCGUGCUCACCAGUGGUCACAAAAACAUCCAGCUGCGGGGAAUCGCCACGCACGGUGAAGCUCUGCACGUCCACGGAGGGCCCAAUGAAAAGGACAUGCAAAAGAGGGAAGAGCCAAACCAAGACUACUGCAUUUCAAAUUAAAGGUGAAGACAAACAAAUGUCUCCACUAGAGGGCUCCAAUAAUGCAACAAUUCUGAUCGGUCGUUUUUCACUGGCAGGAUCACCAGCACGGAGCCCAAGUGCAUCAUUCUACAUUGAUAAUCUGCUCUGUCCAUGAAUCAGGACUGGACAAACUGUACACAACGGGAUUUUUAACUCUUACAGACUAUCAGGUAAGAAUUUCAGAAUCACUUAGAAAACUGAACAUAUAUAUACAUCAUGCCUUGUACAUCUGCCCACAGACUUUUGUUCUAUUCAGUAAAUUAAAUUUUACUAAGCAGCAAAAGAGAAAAUUCAAUACUGCAGCACACUAAGAAACAUUUUUAUCAAAUCCUGAACUUUGCUGCAUAAGUGGCCGAUUUGAGUUGAUAUACUUCAGAAAAAAAACAUUCCUAUGGCUUAGCACAUACCUUGAUUCAUCAGAACCAGGCUUCCAGCCAGCAGGGCCACACAGUUGGUAGGCUGGUGGUUGUGAAGGUACUGGAAACCCCAUCCACGUCUGUAUGAUGUUUCGUACAUAUAUCCUGAGGCAUUGGCAAUCACUUCAAGAAAUCUCUCCUGUUGAAUCUUGCUAAGGUAGCUGUACAAGAAGUCAUAAGCAGUGGCAAAACCAACCAAGGAGUGAGCAAGAGGGACUUCAUCCCAGGGGGCAUCCUUCACUAGCCUGUCAAUAAAUGAAGAUGGCAAUUAAUUGAAUUUCACCUACUUCGUUUUCCCCCUUACUGUACUGUGAUAAGCAUUUGACUUAAGGUCUCCAAAGUUAGAUUAUUCAUGUUGAAUUUUAACACAGUAGUAAGAUACUUACCAAGUCUCUAAAAUAUUUUUUCCUAUCCUAAGUAUGGACAACAUUAAUCUUCAAAGCUCAUAAACUUUAUUAGAAAGAUUAAGUUGCUAAAUAUUAGAAAAAUGUUUGAAAUAUUCUGGGUUUUGCUAGGAGAAAGACAGGCAGAAUAGUGAUUGUACAGAAAUUUAAUUUAUUUAUCUGAAGAAAGAUUCAUGUCAUUUUUGUGAUAAAGUAAUAUGCCAUGGUUUAUACGCCUCCAACCUCCUGCAACAAAUCUUUUUUCUUUUCCAAAGGAGUCAGUUGAUGAUAAAUGGUGCCUAUGAGACCAAAAUUGUCUUUAAAAAAUGAAUUUAAAUUAUUGAGAUGAGUGUCCUACUGCAAUCGGCAGAAUGGUGAAUGCUCCCGAAGGCACACACAUUCUAGUUUCAACUACUCAAUGACUCUAUAAAUAUGAUUUCAUCUUCAUUUGUGUAAGCAUCAGCAUGAACAGACGAGGAAAAAAAAAUCCCCAAAGAGUAAACUAAAACCAAAAAAAUUCUGCUACAGAAGCAUUUAUUGGCAUUCCAAAUGCAUUAAAAAUACAUGUAGAAAUUACAACCAUCAGCCUAAGCACUGCAAUGAUGGCAAAAGACAAGCAAGUGAAAAAAAAAAGACUUUUAAUUUUUAUUUGAGCAUAUUUAAAUCAUAAGAAGGACUCAAGUUUGGCACAUUCAUACUCCCAUGUAAGGAAACUCUCUGUAUGCCUUUUGAUCAGCUGAAUUUCCAACAGUUUUAACUGUUCGCUGUUUCUCAGCUUUGAUCCCAUCUUCUGCUUGCAGUGAAGUUAAACAUUCUUUUUUCCUUUUUUUAAAUGAAAUAUUUAAAUGAAAUAUUUGU